GACGAACGCUGGCGGCGUGCUUAACACAUGCAAGUCGAACGGAAAGGCCCUGCUUGCAGGGUACUCGAGUGGCGAACGGGUGAGUAACACGUGGGUGAUCUGCCCUGCACUUCGGGAUAAGCCUGGGAAACUGGGUCUAAUACCGGAUAGGAGCCAUUUUUAGUGUGAUGGUUGGAAAGUUUUUUCGGUGUAGGAUGAGCUCGCGGCCUAUCAGCUUGUUGGUGGGGUAAUGGCCUACCAAGGCGGCGACGGGUAGCCGGCCUGAGAGGGUGGACGGCCACAUUGGGACUGAGAGACGGCCCAGACUCCUACGGGAGGCAGCAGUGGGGAAUAUUGCACAAUGGGCGCCAGCCUGAUGCAGCGACGCCGCGUGGUGGAUGACGGCCUUCGGGUUGUAGACUCCUUUCGCUAGGGACGAAGCUUUUUGUGACGGUACCUAGAUAAGAAGCACCGGCUAACUACGUG
rnacentral:rRNA from 1 species